rnacentral:lncRNA from 13 species
AUGUACACACAAUUUUAGAAUACAUUGAUUGGGAAAGUGAGACAGAGAUUGUUGUAGGACGAUUCAUUUAGCGAUUGUGGAGGAAUAUUUUUUGAACGGGAGAGGACAUCGUUUUGGACUGUGACACUGACUCCGAAUGGCAGCCCCCAGGGCCAAGGUUUCCAUCCCCCACUGAAGCUGGUUCCUUCCAGCUCUUGCCACAAGUGGUGUUCAUCUNNNNNNNNNNCGGGAAAUCUUUUUGUAUCCAAAUCCGGCUUUAAACUUCUUCACAACAGUAUCUCGGACCUGCCUGGUGUGUUCCUUGUUCUUCAUGAUGCUCUCUGCGCUUUUAACGGACCUCUGAGACUAUCACAGUGCAGGUGCAUUUAUACGGAGACUUGAUUACACACAGGUGGAUUGUAUUUAUCAUCAUUAGUCAUUUAGGUCAACAUUGGAUCAUUCAGAGAUCCUCACUGAACUUCUGGAGAGAGUUUGCUGCACUGAAAGUAAAGGGGCUGAAUAAUUUUGCACGCCCAAUUUUUCAGUUUUUGAUUUGUUAAAAAAGUUUGAAAUAUCCAAUAAAUGUCAUUCCACUUCAUGAUUGUGUCCCACUUGUUGUUGAUUCUUCACAAAAAAUACAGUUUUAUAUCUUUAUGUUUGAAGCCUGAAAUGUGGCAAAAGGUCGCAAAGUUCAAGGGGGCCGAAUACUUUCGCAAGGCACUGUAGAUAUAUCCAAAUGUGUCUAACGGCCCCCCCUUCACCAUCCUGACAUGACAAUGCCAACAUCAAGUUAGGGUGUUUGGUAAACAAAUCCAAAAGCGCGUUCUGGUCCAGUCGGACGAAAAGUUUAAAAAGUUAACAGGUCGAAGAAACUUGUCAAACUAAGUAUAGAAUCAAUCUUUAGGAUGUUUUUAUCAUAAAUGUUCAAUAAAGUUUCAACCGGAGAAUUCCGUUGUCUGUAGAAAAGAAAUGGAACGAGAGAUACCUCUCAUGUGAAAGCGCGUGACUGAGAACGAGGCUGCAGA